rnacentral:rRNA from 1 species
UACGUAGGGUGCAAGCGUUGUCCGGAAUUAUUGGGCGUAAAGAGCUCGUAGGCGGCCUGUCGCGUCGGCUGUGAAAACCCGGGGCUCAACCCCGGGCCUGCAGUCGAUACGGGCAGGCUAGAGUCCGGUAGGGGAGACUGGAAUUCCUGGUGUAGCGGUGAAAUGCGCAGAUAUCAGGAGGAACACCGGUGGCGAAGGCGGGUCUCUGGGCCGAUACUGACGCUGAGGAGCGAAAGCGUGGGGAGCGAACAGG